GAUGAACGCUGACAGCAUGCUUAACACAUGCAAGUCAACUUAACUUUGGAGUUUUUACUUACUCUUGUGUGACCGGCGGGUGAGUAACGCAUAAGUGACUUGCCUCACAGCAAGGGACAACUUUUGUAAACGAAUCCUAAUACAUACUAUUUUGAUACUUGAACAUCCUGGAUCUAUAAAAGCAAAAAGCGCUGUGAGAGCGCUUUGCGUCCCAGUAGCUAGUUGGAGAGGUAACGGCUCACCAAGGCGAUGAUGGGUAGCCGGCCUGAGAGGGUGAUCGGCCACAAGGGGACUGAGACACGGCCCUUACUCAUACGGGAGGCAGCAGUGGGGAAUAUUGGACAAUGGACCGAGAGUCUGAUCCAGCAAUUCUGUGUGCACGAUGAAGUUUUUCGGAAUGUAAAGUGCUUUCAGUUGGGAAGAAACAAAUGACGGUACCAACAGAAGAAGUGACGGCUAAAUACGUG
rnacentral:rRNA from 1 species